ensembl:snRNA U4 U4 spliceosomal RNA
AGCUUUGCACAGUGGCAGUAUCGAGGCCAAUGAGGUUUAUCUGAGGCGCAAUUAUUGCUAAUUGAAAACUUUUCCCAAUACCCCGCCGUGACGACUGGAAGCGUAGUCGGCAUUGGCAAUUUUUGGCAGUCUCUACGGGGA